AACAUCUGCUGAGCCACCCUGAACAAGCCCGAUCCCACCUGAUCUUGGAAACUAAGCAGGGUCGGGCCUAGUUAGUACUUGGAUGGUAGACCACCUAGGAAGACCAAGUGCUGUAGGUG
rnacentral:rRNA from 1 species